rnacentral:pre_miRNA from 1 species
CUUGGAGGGGGGGGGGGCCCUCAGCCCAGAUUGCAAGAGGGUGCAGGCCAGGCCGAGGGACCCCACCAGUGCACU